GACGAACGCUGGCGGCAUGCCUAACACAUGCAAGUCGAGCGAGCAGAUCCCUUCGGGGUGAAGCUAGCGGCGGACGGGUGAGUAACACGUGGGCAACCUGCCUCAUAGAGGGGAAUAGCCUUCCGAAAGGAAGAUUAAUACCGCAUAAGAUUGCAGCUUCGCAUGAAGUAGCAAUUAAAGGAGCAAUCCGCUAUGAGAUGGGCCCGCGGCGCAUUAGCUAGUUGGUGAGGUAACGGCUCACCAAGGCGACGAUGCGUAGCCGACCUGAGAGGGUGAUCGGCCACAUUGGGACUGAGACACGGCCCAGACUCCUACGGGAGGCAGCAGUGGGGAAUAUUGCACAAUGGGGGAAACCCUGAUGCAGCAAUGCCGCGUGAGUGAUGACGGCCUUCGGGUUGUAAAGCUCUGUCUUCGGGGACGAUAAUGACGGUACCCGAGGAGGAAGCCACGGCUAACUACGUGCCAGCAGCCGCAGUAA
rnacentral:rRNA from 1 species